rfam:Bombyx mori DNA, contig: Bm_scaf46_contig25037, strain: p50T/Dazao, build 2, whole genome shotgun sequence.
UUCACUCAAAUUUGUAUGGAGUUGGAACGUUUUCUUACUUUUCGGGGCGCUGUUCCAACUGCAUACAAAUUAAAGUUA